AGUGAACGCUGGCGGUAGGCCUAACACAUGCAAGUCGAACGGCAGCACAGUAAGAGCUUGCUCUUACGGGUGGCGAGUGGCGGACGGGUGAGGAAUACAUCGGAAUCUACUUUUUCGUGGGGGAUAACGUAGGGAAACUUACGCUAAUACCGCAUACGACCUACGGGUGAAAGCAGGGGAUCUUCGGACCUUGCGCGAUUGAAUGAGCCGAUGUCGGAUUAGCUAGUUGGCGGGGUAAGGGCCCACCAAGGCGACGAUCCGUAGCUGGUCUGAGAGGAUGAUCAGCCACACUGGAACUGAGACACGGUCCAGACUCCUACGGGAGGCAGCAGUGGGGAAUAUUGGACAAUGGGCACAAGCCUGAUCCAGCCAUACCGCGUGGGUGAAGAAGGCCUUCGGGUUGUAAAGCCCUUUUGUUGGGAAAGAAAAGCAGCAGGUUAAUACCCCGCUGUUCUGACGGUACCCAAAGAAUAAGCACCGGCUAACUUCGUG
rnacentral:rRNA from 1 species